rnacentral:lncRNA from 1 species
CUCACCUCAGACAGUUCGGCAUCAACACCACUGAGCUUGGUGUCAUUUUCAUGGUUCAGUUUGCGAGCUAUACUCUGGCGGCGCUUGUCCUUGGUAUCUUAUGCCAAUUAAAGAUGGAUGCGUU